rnacentral:rRNA from 1 species
UUUUUUUUGAAGAGUUUGAUCCUGGCUCAGGACGAACGUUGGCGGUGUGUCUAAGGCAUGCAAGUCGAACGAGAUCGCUUUCUUCGGAAAGCAUAUAUCGAGUGGCAGACGGCUGAGUA